GACGAACGCUGGCGGCGUGCUUAACACAUGCAAGUCGAACGGAAAGGCCCUGCUUUUGUGGGGUGCUCGAGUGGCGAACGGGUGAGUAACACGUGAGUAACCUGCCCUUGACUUUGGGAUAACUUCAGGAAACUGGGGCUAAUACCGGAUAGGAGCUCCUGCUGCAUGGUGGGGGUUGGAAAGUUUCGGCGGUUGGGGAUGGACUCGCGGCUUAUCAGCUUGUUGGUGGGGUAGUGGCUUACCAAGGCUUUGACGGGUAGCCGGCCUGAGAGGGUGACCGGCCACAUUGGGACUGAGGUACCGCCCAGACUCCUACGGGAGGCAGCAGUGGGGAAUAUUGCCCAAUGGGCGGAAGCCUGAUGCAGCAACGCCGCGUGCGGGAUGACGGCCUUCGGGUUGUAAACCGCUUUCGCCUGUGACGAAGCGUGAGUGACGGUAAUGGGUAAAGAAGCACCGGCUAACUACGUG
rnacentral:rRNA from 1 species